rnacentral:lncRNA from 1 species
UUUAAAAAAAAAAAAAAAGAAAAGGAAGACAUGGCUGGGCACAUUGGCACACACUCCCAGCAGCUCUGGAGGCUGAGGCAGGAGAAUUGCAAAUUCAAAGCCAGCCUCAGCAACUAAGGCUCUAAGCAGCUCAGUGAGACCCUGUCUCUAAACAAAAUACAAAAUAUGGCUGGGGAUGUGGCUCAGUGGUCAAGUGCUUCUGAGUUCAGUCUCCAGUUUAAAAAAAAAAACAUGAAAAAGGAGAAGCGGCAGUUAUGAUCUCAAUUGACUGAGCUUUGUAUUCCAAGAAGAAAUGUUAUCCCUCAAGAUAAUGGGUGCCUUCCCUAUGUUAAAGUUCCCUUCCCAAGUUCAAUUUCAAGUGGAAAAGUUCACUUCAUUGGCUCCUUUUAAUCAGGGUAACUCUUAAAUGCUAAGAAAGAGCAAGUUUCUUAGGUGUGUUUCUUGUGUGCAAAGCUGAGCUCAGAAUAGGCCUGUAUAUUUGCCAUUAAGGAGUCUCUUGCCACCUCCUAUUAAGUGUGUGUUGAAUAAAGUUCUGAGAAGAUGAAUUAAAGAAAUCAGGAUAUCUGUUUCUGCACCACUUACUGUCCCUUGGAUUUAUGUCAAGUCUUCAUGAUCAAGUUUAAAUUUUAAUGUCCACUUCUCAAAAUGUGACUUGGGCUAAGGGUACGGGUCAGUAAUAGAACACUUGCCUAGCAUGUGCAAGGCCCUGUG